rnacentral:rRNA from 1 species
GAAUUUUCCGCAAUGGGCGAAAGCCUGACGGAGCGACACCGCGUGGUGGAUGACACCCUUCGGGGCGUAAACACCUUUUGUGAGGGAAGAAGAUCUGACGGUACCUCACGAAUAAGGACCGGCUAAUUACGUGCCAGCAGCCGCGGUAAUACGUAAGGUCCAAGCGUUAACCGGAAUUAUUGGGCGUAAAGCGUCCGCAGGUGGUUUGUUAAGUGGAUUAUGAAAUACUGAGGCUCAACUUCAGUGCUGUAGUCCAAACUGGCAAACUAGAGGAAUGGAGAGGCAAGUGGAAUUGUGCAAGUAGGGGUAAAAUCCGUAGAUAUGCACAGGAACACCAAAAGCGAAGGCAUCUUGCUGGCCAUUUCCUGACACUCAGGGACGAAAGCGUGGGGAGCGAAAGGGAUUAGAUACCCCUGUAGUC